rnacentral:lncRNA from 1 species
CCACUCUGUGAGUGGAGCUGCUCUCUGGGUGCAAGAAUUCAUUCAAGGAAUGUUUACUAGGCCACUGUGCUGGGUGUGGGGUACAAGAGGAACCAAUGUCCUCCUCCAGGAGUUGGCAGUAUGCCUGGUCAGCCACACAAUUAACAAGCAAAUGCUGUGUCUGGGAGCAAAUGACUAAUCUGGUCUAGGGAGUGAGGGAGCAGAGUAGGAGGGUCUGGGGAGUGGGAGGCCUGCCGGGGGUACAGGGGAGGGCUGAGGGCAGGGGCCAGGUGGGAGGGAGGCCGCCUUGGAUGUCUACUAUGUUGAGCACCUCUGCAAUGUUCUUUUUUCUUUUUUUGACAGAAUUUCACUCUUUUUGCCCAGGCUGGAGUGCAACGGCGUGAUCUUGGCUCACCGCAACCUCCGCCUCCCAGGUUCAAGCGAUUCUCCUGCCUCAGCCUCCUGAGUAGCUGGGAUUACAGGCAUGCGCCACCAUGCCUGGCUAAUUUUGUAUUUUUUAGUAGAGACAGGGUUUCCCCAUGUCGGCCAGGCUGGUCCUGAACUCCCGACCUCAGGUGAUCCACCUGCCUCGGCCUCCCGAAGUGCUGGGAUUACAGGUGUGAGCCACCAUGCCCAGCCAAACCUCUGCAAUGUUCUAAGUGCAUUUAGGAAGUCACUGAAGACCGGAUUUGCUCUUUUUUCUUGUGUACAUAUUUAAUUUUUUUAAAUGAGCAUUGCUUUUAGAAUUAAAGAUAGCUUUAUUAAACAAUUAUAACCCUUCUAUUUUGGAAUAGUCCAAUCAUAUUAUACUGCCUAUGAAAAAUUGUUUAUUAAAAUGUACAAGAAGUAGGUGGGGAUCACAGACAAAACAAAAUUGGCUGUAAGACAGUAAUUGUUGAUGCUGGGUGAUGGGACAGGGUGGUUCAUUGUAUUCAUUUCUUUUUUUGAGACAGUGUCUCACUCUGUUGCCCAGGCUGGAGUGUAGUGGCACAAUCUCAGCUAACUGCAACCUCCACCUCCCGGUUGGAGGUGGAUCGCUCCUGACCUCAAGUGAUCUGCCUGCGUUGGCCUCCCAAAGUG